AAUUGUCCACUGGGGUGCCAAUACGGCUGAGAUGAUACCCAUUGAACCUGAUUCUAGUUAAUACUAGCGUAGGAACGUGGUCACUUGAUCUUU
rnacentral:ncRNA from 2 species